rnacentral:lncRNA from 1 species
GAAGAAGCAUAUGCGCAGUACCUCGAGGAGGCGGAGCCUAUCGCGUCGAAGAUGUCGGAGUUUGUCUCUCCAGAAGAGCCUUGAGCGUUUUAUGUAGUCUUGAAUCUGUGUCGAGUACUUUGAACAAUAUUUUGACAAAUGAAUGUUUGCCCAUUUUCUUGUUGCGUGAAGUUAUUAUCUUGCAAAGAGUAGUUUUACUCUAUCUUGUCCGACCCAAAGUCCCGGGGUCAACUGAGCCUGACCCUUUGGGGGGGGGGGAGCUCCGCCUCGCCCGACCCUAAGUCCUGGGGUCGGCUAAGCCCGACCCUUUGGGGGAGAAGCUCCGCCUCGCCCGACCCUGAGUCCUGGGGUCCGGUGCGCCCGACCCCUGAGCAGAGGGUCAGAGUAGUCCAAGCCCCCAAGAUAAUGAUAUAGAUCGUGCUUAGCUUAGAGUAGUGCUUAGCUUUUGAGGGACACGGGUGUACUGUACUCCUUUGUUCUUUUGUGGAUGCGUGGGUGUACUAUACUCUUUUGUCCUUUGUAUCAUAAGUGCCAUGACGUGGGUAGAGUCAGGAGUCGUCAGACUCAUUGAUCACGGGUGCAUAGUAACUCUUGGGCAGGUGGUAGUUGCAUCUUUCGGCUAUAAAUAGAGCCAUAUGGAGAGCGAACCAAACCAAGUUUCUGAGUAGCAAUGGAUUGCUUUCGGUUGCUUAUUUUUGAGUGUAGAGAGCCAUCAAAGAGUGCACCGGUGCUAGAAGAUUCCUCGUAGAUUGAGGCCACCUUCCCUCCACAGACUCCUGCGCUCGUAGGGAUAGCCACGAUGCUAGAAGAAUCCUCGUAGGAGGUUUCGUCGCAUGCCUCAUCUUGCA